rnacentral:tRNA from 1 species
AAUGAGAUGCCUGAUUAAAGGAUUAUUUUGAUAGAAUAAGUUAUGCGACUCCCCCACCCGCUCUCAUUA